rnacentral:ncRNA from 1 species
AAAAAUUACAUAAGACUAGCUCGUAUAAUAGCUGGAAUAUGGCCAGCGAGUUUCUACCGGAUUACCAUAAAUUUUCCGACUACGAGUAAGCUCAUUUGGUUU